GGCAUGCGAUGGGAGCUUGCUCCCUGAGAUCAGCGGCGGACGGGUGAGUAACACGUGGGUAACCUGCCUGUAAGACUGGGAUAACUCCGGGAAACCGGGGCUAAUACCGGAUAACUCAGUUCCUCGCAUGAGGAACGGUUGAAAGGUGGCUUUUCGCUACCACUUACAGAUGGACCCGCGGCGCAUUAGCUAGUUGGUGAGGUAACGGCUCACCAAGGCGACGAUGCGUAGCCGACCUGAGAGGGUGAUCGGCCACACUGGGACUGAGACACGGCCCAGACUCCUACGGGAGGCAGCAGUAGGGAAUCUUCCGCAAUGGACGAAAGUCUGACGGAGCAACGCCGCGUGAGUGAAGAAGGUUUUCGGAUCGUAAAACUCUGUUGUUAGGGAAGAACAAGUGCCGUUCGAAUAGGGCGGCACCUUGACGGUACCUAACCAGAAAGCCACGGCUAACUACGUGCCAGCAGCCGCGGUAAUACGUAGGUGGCAAGCGUUGUCCGGAAUUAUUGGGCGUAAGCGCGCGCAGGUGGUUUCUUAAGUCUGAUGUGAAAGCCCACGGCUCACCGUGGAGGGUCAUUGGAAACUGGGGAACUUGAGUGCAGAAAGGAAGUGGAAUUCCAGUGU
rnacentral:rRNA from 2 species